AAGUCGUAACAAGGUUUCCGUAGGUGAACCUGCGGAAGGAUCAUUAUUGAAUUCAACUCGCGAAGUUGUUGCUGGCUCCUCUGGGGCAUGUGCACACUUCGCAAGUCAUUUCAACCACCUGUGAACCUUUUGUAGUCUUGGGAGACGCUAUUAUCAAAGGAAACUUUGGAUUUGAACGCUGCGGGCUUGCAAAAGUCGGCUUCGUUCUACAGCAGAACCCGAGUCUAUGCUUUAUAUACCCCAAUUGUAUGUCAAUGAAUGUGAUGCAAGGGCUUUCCAGCCUUUAAAUCAAAUACAACUUUCAGCAACGGAUCUCUUGGCUCUC
rnacentral:misc_RNA from 1 species